rnacentral:rRNA from 1 species
UCAUAUCAAAUUAGCGGAGGAAAAGAAACCAACAGGGAUUGCCCCAGUAACGGCGAGUGAAGCGGCAACAGCUCAAAUUUGAAAUCUGGCCCCAGGCCCGAGUUGUAAUUUGCAGAGGAUGCUUUUGGCGCGGUGCCUUCCGAGUUCCCUGGAACGGGACGCCAUAGAGGGUGAGAGCCCCGUACGGUUGGACACCAAGCCUUUGUAAAGCUCCUUCGACGAGUCGAGUAGUUUGGGAAUGCUGCUCUAAAUGGGAGGUACAUUUCUUCUAAAGCUAAAUAUUGGCCAGAGACCGAUAGCGCACAAGUAGAGUGAUCGAAAGAUGAAAAGCACUUUGAAAAGAGGGUUAAACAGCACGUGAAAUUGUUAAAAGGGAAGCGCUUGUGACCAGACUUGCGUCCGGUGAAUCACCCAGCUCUCGCGGCUGGGGCACUUCGCCGGCACAGGCCAGCAUCAGCUUGCCGUCGGGGACAAAAGCUUCAGGAACGUGGCUCCUCUCGGGGAGUGUUAUAGCCUGUUGCACAAUACCCUUCGGCGGGCUGAGGUACGCGCUCCGCAAGGAUGCUGGCGUAAUGGUCAUCAGCGACCCGUCUUGA